rnacentral:rRNA from 1 species
GUAACGUCAGGGCCUAAGGUUAUUAACCUUAAACUUUUCCUCCCUACUGAAAGUGCUUUACAACCCUAAGGCCUUCUUCACACACGCGGCAUUGCUGCAUCAGAGUUUCCUCCAUUGUGCAAUAUUCCCC